GACGAACGCUGGCGGCGUGCUUAACACAUGCAAGUCGAACGGUGAAGGGGCCUGCUUUUGUGGGCCCUGGAUGAGUGGCGACCGGGUGAGUAACACGUGAGUAACCUGCCCCCUUCUUCUGGAUAACCGCAUGAAAGUGUGGCUAAUACGGGAUAUUCUGGGUCUGUCGCAUGAUGGGUCUGGGAAAGAUUGCGCCUUUGGGUGUUUUUGGUGGGGGAUGGGCUCGCGGCCUAUCAGCUUGUUGGUGGGGUGAUGGCCUACCAAGGCGGUGACGGGUAGCCGGCCUGAGAGGGUGGACGGUCACACUGGGACUGAGACACGGCCCAGACUCCUACGGGAGGCAGCAGUGGGGAAUAUUGCACAAUGGGCGCAAGCCUGAUGCAGCGACGCCGCGUGAGGGAUGGAGGCCUUCGGGUUGUAAACCUCUUUCGCCAGUGAAGCAGGCCUGCUCCUUGUGGGUGGGUUGACGGUAGCUGGAUAAGAAGCGCCGGCUAACUACGUG
rnacentral:rRNA from 1 species